AGGGUUCCGGCUCUUCCUUGUCUUCUCCGAACUCAGGUUUCUUAAAGCACCUCCAACUCUCAUUCGCUAACCCUAAUCUUAAUCCCUUCAUCAGCUUUCAGAAAUUUCAAGAGAUUUGGUGAUGCUUUUCCUCUUCAGGUCUCGAAUUGCAACCCUGUAAAGACAAAUUACAGGAGAACGAUUGGAUGUACUGAAGAUAUUAAUAAUUGAUGAAGUGAUAUCUUGUGCGGGGAUUCAAUGAGAAUUUAGGGAUGUUUGGAUUUCGAUUUUCAACUCUUGUUAUGCUGUUUAU